GGUGGCAGUGGGGACAAGAGGCUGACAAAGGGAUGGAGGGGAACAGUGGGGUUUCUCGAGAGCACUUAGGGCCACCACAUCGGGCUACAAGUGCCACCAGGUCCCUGACACCAUUGCUGUCCCGUCCUCAGCUGUCCCCGGCCAUGCUGCAGCCACAGGUCACCGUGGUGGCCACCCUGGGUAAGCUGCUGGACACCCUGCCCACGCAGGAGGAGAUGAUGCUUGAGUCCUCAAAGUGCCUGCACAAGGACCUGGAGGAAUUCAUCAUCAAGCUCUCACUCACCCUGGACUGCAUUGAUGACACCUGGAGGCACGACAGUGUCACCGGUGAUGAUGAUGGCGGUGUCACCUCCCUGAGCCAGGCCCUGGCUGCCUACAGGAGCAGCACACAGACCACCCAGGACCGUGUGGCAAUGGCGGCCAGCAAGUGGUGGUGGAGGUCAAUGUCUGUGCUUGUGAACAGGUGGGCCCAGGUGACCAGGAAGGCCACCGAGCUCCGUGACACCUUGAUCAAGGUGGCCACUGAGGCAAAGACCACCGAGCUCAGGGAGCUGCAGGACAAGGCUGCCCGUGAUGGGACAUCUGUGGAACACAUGGUGGAGCUGGGUCAGGCCCUGGGAGGAGGGGGCCGAGGUGGAGGGAGGAGGGGGCUGAGGUGGCUGCCAGCGAGACAACAAGGGCCACCAUGGUGAGACAGUGGCUGGAGGCGGCCCUGGGGCUGCUGGAGCGCUUGGUGGCUGCGUGUGACGAAGCCACCGCGUUCCCUCAGGAGCUGCUGUUCCUGCUCGGGAACAUCGAGGCUGCCCUGGAGGAGAUAAAUGAGGCGUCCCCCGAUGUCCCCGAGGACUUGAUGGCCAAGGUGGACGUGGCCGAGCGGCUGUGGGAAGCCAAUGCCCGCCUGGCCAAGGAUCACCUGGUGGGGAUAAUUGAUGACAUCCCCGACUUGAGUAGCAAGGGUGGCCGUGCCAGGCCCAGUGCCCGUGGGGUGGCUGAGCGGUGCCAAAGAGCCAUCAAGGACAUCUCAAGGCUCCUUCGACCCCUGGAGCGUCCCCAGUGCAUCCCGAAGUUGUCCCAACUGUCCCCGGCCCUGCUGCAGCCACAGGUCACUGUGGUGGCCACCCUGGGUGAGCUGCUGGACACCCUGCCCACACAGGAAGAGGAGAUGCUGCCUGUGUGCCCAAAGCACCUGUACGGGGACCUGGAGGAAUUCACUGAGGAGCUCUUGGUCACCCUGCACUGCACUGAUGACACCUGGAAGCGCCAGAAUGUCACCAAAGAUGGUGAUGGCGGUGUCACCUCCCUGAGCCAGGCCCUGGCCGCCUACAGGAGCGCCCCACAGACCAUGCAGGGCCGUGUGGCCAUGGCGGCCAGGAAGUGGCAGUGGUCGGUGAAUGAGCUUGUGGACAGGUGGGCCCAGGUGAGCAGGAAAGCCACUGAGCUCCGUGACACCUGGAGCAAGGUGGUCACUGAGGCAAUGACCGCCCAGUUCAGGGAGCAGCAGGACGAGGCUGCCCGUGAUGGGACAUCUGAGGAACACAUGGUGGAGCUGGGUCAGGCCCUGGGCAGGGAGGAGGGGGCCGAGGUGCUGGCCAGGACUGAAGCCCAGGUGAGGAGAGAGGCCAGGGUGGCNAACUAGGGCCACCAUGGUGAGACAGCGGGUGUGGGCGGCCCUGGGGCUGCUGGAGCGCUUGGUGGCCGUGUGUGACGAAGCCACCGCGUUUCCCCGGGAGCUGCAGCGCCUGCUCAGGGACACCAAGGCCACCCUGGAGGGGACAAAGAAGAAGUUCCCCACUGUCCCUGAGGACUUGGUGGCCAAGGUGGCCGAGGCCGAGCGUCUGUAGGAGGCCAACGUCCACCUGGCCAAGGAUCACCUGCUGGGGGACAGUUGAUGACAUCCUCGACUUCUAAAGCAAGGGUGGCCGUGCCAGCCCCAGUGCCGUGAGGUGGCCGAGCGGUGCCAAAGAGCCACUGAGGACAUCCCAAAUCUGCUGCAGGAUGAUGAUGUCACUGCCAUGACAUCAUAAUGGCGGUUAUAAAAAAUGCAUGUAUUUUAUGAUUGGCUUUUCACAAAUAUUAAAAUGAAUGUUAUAUGUAUUAUAUUAGGAAGUAACGCUGUAUUAAUUCUCUUAAGUAGUGCGCUAAAUAUAGUUUUAGGUUAUAAGACAAUGAUAAAAUAGAAACUAUGCUAUGUAGGAUACUUUUUUUAAAGAAAGGACUUGCAGUGAAAUAGCAGCCACAGAACACCUGAAUCUUUCAGAGAAAAAGAAUUCAUUGCACUCCUAUCAGGAGAAACAAACUUCUUCCCGCCUCAAAGGCGAUGUUAGGAUUCGGAGGAAGGAGUUGAUGAUGACCAGACAGAAUCCUGUGUUUGAAUGGAAUUGAUGCAUCAUGUAUGACAUGUAUGACUAUGCACCAGGGUAUUGUUUUUAAGGGUUAAUCCUUUGUUAACAUGGGUCCUUUUUCAGGCUCGUGCUGCCCUGAGAAAGGUACCUGGACGUCCGUAACUCUUUGUAUUUAUGGUCUCAUAUUGCCUGAAGUCAAAUUGUCCAAAUUAUUAUUACUCUUAUUGUAUUACUAUUUUUAUAGCCAUUUUAUUACUAUUAAAUUUUUAAAAUUUAAAAAGCAAGUGAUUGGCG
ensembl:lncRNA